rnacentral:rRNA from 2 species
GUGCGAGACCGAUAGCGAACAAGUACCGUGAGGAAAAGAUGAAAAGAACUUUGAAAAGAGAGUUAAAGAGUACCUGAAACUGCUGAAAGGGAAGCGAAUCGUAUCCAGUGUCUAUAAUCUGCGGCAUAUUUCAUUGGCGGCGGUGCGCGUGCUUUUGCGUCGGAAGCGGCUUUUGUUGCUCUGUGCUUUUGCUGUGCGUGGUGUUGCUGGUGCCCUGUGUUGCGGUGGGACGUCAGAGUCAGUUUGUAUGCUGCGGGAAAUGGCUGCCGAGGAGGUAGGGCGAGAUUUCGGUCUUGGCUGUUAUAUCUUGGUGGUUUGUUGUCGUGGUUGAGACUGAGGUGCCUACAAUGUGCUUUUGAGUGUACCGGGUUCUCAUUUGGUGGACUGUUUGGAUAGCUUGCUAUGCUUGUGGUUUUUUCAUCGGGUGAUUGAGUCUGGUGGUAACUUGUUGCUGUUCGGGACUUUG